AUUGAACGCUGGCGGCAUGCCUUACACAUGCAAGUCGAACGGUAACAGGUCUUCGGAUGCUGACGAGUGGCGAACGGGUGAGUAAUACAUCGGAACGUGCCUGAUAGUGGGGGGAUAACUACUCGAAAGAGUGGCUAAUACCGCAUAAGAUCUCAGGAUGAAAGCAGGGGACCGCAAGGCCUUGCGCUAAACAGAGCGGCCGAUGGCAGAUUAGGUAGUUGGUGGGGUAAAGGCUUACCAAAGCCUGCGAUCUGUAGCUGGUCUGAGAGGACGACCAGCCACACUGGGACUGAGACACGGCCCAGACUCCUACGGGAGGCAGCAGUGGGGAAUUUUGGACAAUAG
rnacentral:rRNA from 1 species